rnacentral:rRNA from 1 species
AGUGAACGCUGGCGGUAGGCCUAACACAUGCAAGUCGAACGGCAGCACAGAGGAGCUUGCUCCUUGGGUGGCGAGUGGCGGACGGGUGAGGAAUACAUCGGAAUCUACUCUGUCGUGGGGGAUAACGUAGGGAAACUUACGCUAAUACCGCAUACGACCUACGGGUGAAAGCAGGGGACCUUCGGGCCUUGCGCGAUUGAAUGAGCCGAUGUCGGCUUAGCUAGUUGGCGGGGUAAAGGCCCACCAAGGCGACGAUCCGUAGCUGGUCUGAGAGGAUGAUCAGCCACACUGGAACUGAGACACGGUCCAGACUCCUACGGGAGGCAGCAGUGGGGAAUAUUGGACAAUGGGCGCAAGCCUGAUCCAGCCAUACCGCGUGGGUGAAGAAGGCCUUCGGGUUGUAAAGCCCUUUUGUUGGGAAAGAAAUCCAGCUGGCUAAUACCCGGUUGGGAUGACGGUACCCAGAGAAUAAGCACCGGCUAACUUCGUGCCAGCCGCCGCUGUAA